rnacentral:rRNA from 1 species
GGGGGGGGGGGGGGGGGUGCCUGGGGGGGGGGGGGCGGGGGGGGCGUUCGGGUCUGGUGGGGCGGUGGUGCGUAACGCGGGGGACCCUCGCGUUCGAUUGGGGAGGAGGCCCCGGGAGUCGUGGUAAUCCCGGCUCAUGUCUCCGUGCCCCGGGUUUAUGUCCUGUGUCUGGGCCCGCGUUGGCUUAGCUCGUUGGUCGGGGAAAAGCCUACCAAGGCGACGCUCCCUAGUUGGUCUGAGAGGAUGAUCAGCCAAACUGGGACUGAGACACAGCCCAGACUCCUACGGGAGGCAGCAGUGGGGAAUAUUGGACAAUGGGCGAAAGCCUGAUCCAGCAAUGCCGCGUGAGUGAGGAAGGCCUUAGGGUUGUAAAGCUCUUUUACCCGGGAUGAUAAUGACAGUACCGGGAGAAUAAGCUCCGGCUAACUCCGUG